AUUGAACGCUGGCGGCAUGCCUUACACAUGCAAGUCGAACGGUAACAGGUCUUCGGAUGCUGACGAGUGGCGAACGGGUGAGUAAUACAUCGGAACGUGCCGAGAGUGGGGGAUAACGAGGCGAAAGCUUUGCUAAUACCCCAUACGAUCUCAGGAUGAAAGCAGGGGACCGCAAGGCCUUGCGCUCACGGAGCGGGCGAUGGCAGAUUAGGUAGUUGGUGGGAUAAAGGCUUACCAAGCCGACGAUCUGUAGCUGGUCUGAGAGGACGACCAGCCACACUGGGACUGAGACACGGCCCAGACUCCUACGGGAGGCAGCAGUGGGGAAUUUUGGACAAUGGGCGCAAGCCUGAUCCAGCCAUGCCGCGUGCAGGAUGAAGGCCUUCGGGUUGUAAACUGCUUUUGUACGGAACGAAAAGACUUCUUCUAAUAAAGGGGGUCCAUGACGGUACCGUAAGAAUAAGCACCGGCUAACUACGUGCCAGCAGCCGCCGUAAUAC
rnacentral:rRNA from 1 species